GGGGCUGUAGCUCAAAUGGCAGAGCGCUCGCUUCGCAUGCGAGAAGUACUGGGAUCGAUACCCAGCUGCUCCA
rnacentral:tRNA from 2 species